CGAAGCAGCAGGGCUGUGAGCCAGGGCCUGCAGGUUUCUGUUCCCAUUGUUUGCAUGACCUUGACCGGUCCUGUGAGUGCCCAGUGUCCCAUUUGUGUCUGUGUCAAAUGACAAGCUUGCACCAAGUCCCCAGGCUCUGGAGUCCGAGGUCAAUCUCUGUGCUUAUGCUCUGGUUUGGUUUAACCAUCCGCACAAACAGGGCAUUACCAAUGCAAACAUGCAAACCAAGCGUGAUAAAUAGACGGGGAGCCUGUCUGAGACCCACAUGACACCAAGAGGCUGUCCUAAUGGUGAGGGAGUGUCACCCAACUCCAGUCACUGGUUCCUUGGGAAUGGUUUCAUUCCUCUCUAGACCUUCAGUCUCUACAGAGGAAGCCAAGAAUCUCUUCUCAGCACUGUCUACCUUUGAUUGGCUGCUGAGAACCUCUGCACUGGAAACUGGUCUGGCCUUUUGUUUUAAGCAUGCAGUACUUAAGUGAUCUAAGGGAAGAUUAAAUUAAAGGCCUGGAAGAGUGAAAUAAUGCGUCUAAGAACGUCAGCCAAUAAAGACCCAAAACAUGA